AUGCACGCUGGCGGCGUGCCUCAUACAUGCCAGUCGCGCGAACAGACGAGGAGCUUGCUCCUCUGACGUUAGCGGCGGACGGGUGAGUAACACGUGGAUAACCUACCUAUAAGACUGGGAUAACUUCGGGAAACCGGAGCUAAUACCGGAUAAUAUAUUGAACCGCAUGGUUCAAUAGUGAAAGACGGUUUUGCUGUCACUUAUAGAUGGAUCCGCGCCGCAUUAGCUAGUUGGUAAGGUAACGGCUUACCAAGGCAACGAUGCGUAGCCGACCUGAGAGGGUGAUCGGCCACACUGGAACUGAGACACGGUCCAGACUCCUACGGGAGGCAGCAGUAGGGAAUCUUCCGCAAUGGGCGAAAGCCUGACGGAGCAACGCCGCGUGAGUGAUGAAGGUCUUCGGAUCGUAAAACUCUGUUAUUAGGGAAGAACAAAUGUGUAAGUAACUAUGCACGUCUUGACGGUACCUAAUCAGAAAGCCACGGCUAACUACGU
rnacentral:rRNA from 1 species